AUGGACGCGGGCCUGCAGGAGAGAACGGCGGAGCUGCUGAGGAGGAGUGAAGCUGUGCUGAAUCAGCGCCCUCGGCCCCCCCGGCUCCACCCAGCCCCGCCCACUCGUGGGCGUGGCCAACCCGGAGGUGGGCGGAGCCUGGAUGCCGACCCGCUGCAGCAAUGGAGGGCCGGCAGGAGGCGGGGCUUAGCGGAAGCCCCGCCCCCUGCGACGUCGGCACGGAGGCGGAGCCAAUCGCUGGAUGCGUGGAGAGGGGCGGAGCCACGGCAGGACAGGGACCAAUCGGAUGGCGCGGUGAGGGGGGGUGCUAAUACAAGGG
rnacentral:lncRNA from 1 species